ACGACUACAUAUCAGGCAUAUCAAUAAGCGGAGGAAAAGAAACUAACAAGGAUUCCCUUAGUAACGGCGAGUGAAGCGGGAAGAGCUCAAAUUUGAAAUCUUCAAGGUUCUACCUUGACGAAUUGUAGUUUAAAGAAGUGUUUUCUGUUAGAUGAGUAGCAAAAGUUCCUUGGAAUGGGACAUCAUAGAGGGUGAGAAUCCCGUAUUUGGUUAUUCAUUCUAGCUUUGUGAUACACUUUCAAAGAGUCGGAUUGUUUGGGAAUGCAGUCCAAAAUGGGUGGUAAAUUUCAUCUAAAGCUAAAUAUUGGCGAGAGACCGAUAGCGAACAAGUACCGUGAGGGAAAGAUGAAAAGAACUUUGAAAAGAGAGUUAAACAGUACGUGAAAUUGUCAAAAGGGAAGCGUUUGACACCAGUGUUGUUUUUCCGAAAAUCAAUUACGAAUGGCUUGAUUUUGUGUUGUAUUGACCUUAUCAGCUUUCUUCACUUUUUUCGAGUCUUUCUUAAUGCACUUUUCGGUUAACAAGUCAACAUCAAUUUCUUUUGUUGUAAAAGAGUAUUCGGAAGGUGGCUUUCUUUUCGGAGAAAGUGUUUAUAGCCCUAUAGGCUUCUAGCAAUCGGAGAGAUUGAGGUCUGCAGCGUAGAUCCUUCGGGAUUAGAUACAUUUGUGCUAAGUUAUAGCUUUUCAUAGACAACUUGUUGACUAUGAUUAGUCAUGUCGCUUACUCGCUUAUGCUAUUUUACCUACGCUUAGGAUGUUGAGUAGCGACAUACGCAC
rnacentral:rRNA from 1 species